rnacentral:rRNA from 1 species
UCUGGUUCAGGAUGAACGCUAGCGACAGGCCUAACACAUGCAAGUCGAGGGGCAGCGCGGGAGAAGCUUGCUUUCCUGGCGGCGACCGGCGCACGGGUGCGUAACAGGUGUGCAAUCUGUCCAUAGUCGGGGGAUAGCCCAGCGAAAGCUGAAUUAACACUCCAUGUGAAUCGAAGCCGCAUGACUUUGAUUUGAAACGCAAGGACUAUGGGUGAGCACGCUUCUGAUUAGAUAGUUGGUGGGGUAACGGCCCACCAAGCCGACGAUCAGUAGGGGUUCUGAGAGGAAGGUCCCCCACAUUGGAACUGAGACACGGUCCAAACUCCUACGGGAGGCAGCAGUGAGGAAUAUUGGUCAAUGGGCGAGAGCCUGAACCGGCCAAGUCGCGUUAGAAGGAUGAAGGUUCUAUGGAUUGUAAACUUCUUUUGUCCGAGGGUAAAGGAGUCCACGUGUGGAUUUUUGCAAGUAUCGGACGAAUAAGCAUCGGCUAACUCCGUGCCAGCCGCCGC